UUAACUUUGCUCACAAGUCUUUGCUUCACCCUUGCCUCAAACUAACUUGUGUUCCAAUGCUUGAAUGUUUAAAAUACAACAUAAAGUUUUUUUUUUUGUAAUAUUAAAAAGAAAUUUCAGUUUUAUCAUUCACGAUUAUCUUUGAAAGUUAAAUAGAUUUACAAAAAGAAGAAGAGAAGGAUAUUUCUAUUUAGGCAAAAUGAAUUGAUCUUGAUCUAUCUUUCUACUUGCCUAACUUUGAUACAUAAUGUCCUAAUACUUGUUAAAAUAUCCUUUAUUUUGUAUCGAAACUCAAUAUUAAUGUUGGAAUCCCUCGCACGCCGCAGAAAAUUUUAGAAAAAUUCUGCGCGCAGCGGAAGACAUGCGCGAGAUCUCGUUCAUCGCAUGAACAUAUUUUAAAACCGUCGUUCGUAGAUAGAUUAGGAUUAAAUACUUUUUAUAUGAUUAAGAAGAUCAGAUCUUCAC
rnacentral:lncRNA from 1 species